ensembl:lncRNA
GGAACCAUGGGCCCCUGGACACACCCAGACCCUCCUUGGCAUCUACUCUUCCCCACCCAGCUCUGUUCUCCUCCACAGGGUCUUCCUGUGAGAUGCAUCAGGAUGAGGGGAGCAGCAAGGGCACCUGAGUGUGGCCCAUUUCAUGUUGCAGAUCAAAGUGUCAACACGGGGCCAGCAGCGUCAUCGUGUGUUCUCAUGGGGCCACCGGAACCGUCGUGUGUUCUCAUGCCACAGGCUCCUUGGAUUUGGAAUUGAGUUUCCACUGCCAGCUGCUGGAGCCUCGCUCCUAGAAGCCCCAUGUCCACCUGGGUGUGCACAGGGAAAGUCGGGGAGCCUCGAGAUGGGCCGGAAGAUCCUCCAGCAACGGCACCAGCCACGCUGCAGUCACCUUGACCCUGCCCCAGGAGCUCCUGGGCCAAAGGCAGACUGAGCACGUUCUACAUACCUGCCCCAGCUUUUGCCUCCUCCUUCUGAACUCCUCGAGGAAGGCACCAUCUGCAUUUUACAGAGCAGGAGCUGAGGCACAGGGAGGUUGCUAGGCUGACUGUGGCAGCACAGCGGGGACGUGACUGUGUGGCUAGACCAGGAGCAGCCUUGUGGCCGCUGUUCUCCACUGACCCGAGUAGGGCCAGGGAGGAUGGCAGAGCCCCGUUCUCUCAUGGGCAACAGCCACGCCUCAGCUCCAGCCGGAGUGAGAGAACCCCUGCCAGGUUGGAUGUGGGUUGUGUGGCACCAGCCUUGCUGAAGGCACACGCCACGGUUCCGGGCAAGUUUGAGGGGCUUCUUGCCAGCUCAGACUCAGGCUCUGUCCACUUCCUGUGACUGGCAUGGGAGUGGGGCAGCUGAGGGAGCAGGCAGGACACGCAUGGAUGGGUUUGUUGGAAAGAUGUGUGCCCCUCUUCCUGGGGGCCGUCAAAGCCCACGGCCUGAUCUGAGUCCCUCCCACUUCCCACAGCAAACACCUUGCUCAAGCUGAGAAAGGGCCUGGGCCAGCCCCGCUUGGGGGAGGUGGUUUGCAGAGGGAGGCACUGAGGUGCCAGCGGCGCAAGCUCAUGUGGGAGCCUACCCAUGACGCCUUAACCUCUCCCACGAGGGUGGGGGAUGAGGAAGGGGAUCCUGCCCUGGCAGAGACAGGCCUGAGGCCUGGUCAGCUGGCCCCACCCCAGGGAGAUGAGUCCAUCAAUCCAUCCCCACCUGGGGCCCCCUCCCUGACGCUCGCCGUGAUCAGGGUCUGCAGGCCACUGUGCAGGACUUCCACAUAGCUGGGCUCCAGGCACAGUCGGCCCCCGACACCAGGGCCUGGCCAUGGGGGGCCCCCAAGGUCAGCAGCCAGCUGCUUCUCGUGCAGAUAGCCCAGCCAGUGCUCACGCCACCAGGAGCGAUGCUGGGAGAGGCUGAAGGUCAGUAGCUCGCUGUCCUAAGGUGAGGAACAGGGCCGGUUAGCACACGGGGAGGUGGCCGGCCUCACCCACUGCAGCCUGCGGGGACACCACCACAGAGGCCAGAGGUCCUGUCCUCCGCCUUCCUGCACUCUGCCCCCCUGGGCUCCAUCCUUGGUGGCGAAGGAAUACCAAGGCCCUCCCAGCCCCUCCUGUGCCUGCUCUCGACCCGAACACCUCCUCCUCCAGGAAGGCCUCCCUGCUCAGACCCCAGGACUGCUCUCAGGUGCACUAGGCCCCUUCCUCGUGUCUCUGGCUAAAGCUGCCAUUUGACCUGUGUCUGACUCAGGACAGUUUCCUGAGCUGCAACCCAGGAGACUGUCCUGAGUCAGACACAGGUCAAAUGUGUGGCUCUAGGAAGCGGGGGCCUGUCUGCCCAGGUGGGCACCUGCCCUAGUGCCCACCUGUGUCACACCAGCCAGAGCAGAGAGCCCCCAGGGGAGACCAAACUCCACCCCUCCUCGGCUUUAGGACCAACCUCUGAGCUGCAAGGAAAGUGCCUGAAACAUCCCCUGUCAGGGUCAGGGUCAGGGUCUGGGUGGGCUCCGUGAUGACCCCCCAGCCCCCAUUUCCUCAGUUUCCUGCAGUGCAGGAGGCACCAGGGUUUACCAGCCUGGAGGGUUUCGCCGGCCGGGACCAAGAACCCCACGUGGCCUCAGGAGGGUGGUGUCCGUUCGCCUGCACAUCUCUGCCAGGGCUAGUCUCUGCUCUGAGGCCCCUCUCCCCCAGCUGAAGCCCCCUCACCUGCCAACACCCACAGACACCUUCAUUCACCAAUCAAACCACUGGUUUCUCCCAGACCUUUACUGAAUCAGCAACUACCCACUAGGGCUGUUCUGGGUACUGGGGACAGAGCCACGCACAGACUGAACCCCUGGCUCCCACAACAGACACAGGGGGUGUUAGGUGGAGCCUGGUCAGGACCCCAGGAAGUACCCUGCACUGCCUUCCCACCUGCACUCACCUGUCUCUCGGGUGAUGAAGCAGAUGAGGAAGAUGUUCCAGGUGAC